UCAGGCGUGUCACUGGCCACCAAGAACGGCUCAUGAGGACCUGAUGUUAAGCUGGAACCCCCACCAAACUGUUUUUGAGAGAGAGAGAGAGAGAGAGAGAGAGAGAGAGAGAGAAAGAGAGAGAGAGAGAGAGAGAUCCGGGCAUCGCUCAAGUCGCUGUGCGGGUCACGGUAUAUACACAAACGCAGUGUAACCAGAAAUAAUUCCUCGUAAAGUUUUUUUUCGCCACCCGGAGCAGGACGCCGUAAUUCGCUCUCGGUGUCGCCCCAAAAAGUCAAGUGAGCGUUGGCCAGUGACAUCAUGGACUCACAACUUCACAACACGGCAGUUGUAUCGAAAACUUUAAACAUUAGCCUCCGUGAUGCCUUCACGCCCUUAGAGGACUUUUUUCUGCACCGUGAAGGACAAAAAGAAAGUCAGUGACCCAUGCAGGGAUCGCGAGUCAGCCCUUCACGUGACACCGAGGAAAGGUUGCCGCAGCUUUCCGUCUUUACAAAAUGGCGUGGCGAUGAAUUGCAGUAAUGAAGAACAGAUACUGGCUCGCCUUGAUCGCUCCUCGACCGACUGUUAAUGGAAGCAGAAGGUGGCGGCGAUAACUGUAUAAGGGCGACCGUAAACAAAGAAGGUAGCUGAGUGCAUUCCUUAUAAGGGCGGCUCCCACACCUCCACCUCACCUCCUCCCUGUAUUCUAUUAAGAAAUAAUUCACGGCGCGACUUAUACGCCGAGUUAAGACCCGGAUGGAUGGCGGCUCAGCGAGGGACUGUUGUGAGCCGCAAUAAUGGACAGGAGAGAGCCGCGGGGGGUGUUUGUGGCGCGCCCAUAAACUUAUUCUUAUCCUCAAGUUUGUUUAUCAGCGGCGAGGAGGCGAAGGGAGGAAUGCAGAGAGGACUGAGGUCAGGUGUGGGCGGCGGCGUCAGUGGUCAGAUAUCAUCCCUGGCCUCCAACACAUUGGAUAUGUCUAUAGGGUCGCUCGUAUGCUCCUCUCCUAUACCUACAAGAGGAGAGAAAAAUACAAGAGAUCCGUUCCUCCAUCGCACUCCUGCUGUAUAAUAAAGGCGUCGUAAUGAGCAGUAGUAAUGAAAGUACUCGCGUCUCUAUGUCCUGCGUCAGUGUUUCAUCUUACCUGUCACCCGAUCCAUAAUUCAAGGCAGCAGGGAAAGGUAAAGGUAGUGCCAGUAGAAGUAGUGGCAGUAGUAGUAGUAGUAGUAGUAGUAGUAGUAGUAGUAGUAGUAGUAGUAGUAGUAGGAGUAGUAGUAGGUGGUGGUGGUGGUGGUGGUGGUAAUGGUAAUAUUCCAAGUUUCAGAAUAAGAAAGAGGAGAAGGUUGACGAGAACAAGGAAGAAAAGAAAGAGUAAAAAGAGAAAAGUAAGACAAGAAAGAGGAUGAAAAGAGUGAAAAGGAAAAGAAAAAGGCAGAAGAAUAGGAAAGAGAACGAGCAGGUAAAGAAAAAAAGGAAGAUGAACAGGAAGAGAACGAGCAAAAUGAGAAAGAGGAUGAAAAGGGUGAAAAGGAAAGGUUAAUAGGAGAAAGAAUAGAAACAGAACGACCAGGACAAAGUAGGACAAGGAAAGAUGACAAAGAAAAAUAGACCGAAGAACAGUUGCAGUACAGCUCUCAAACACACACACACACACACACACAGACACACACACACACACACACACACACACACACAUCCGUCCCUCCCCCUCCCACAAAUACACACACAUGCACAGUAAAGGUUGUGUCCGCGUUUCGGGGAAGUGUGCGGUGUGGCGUGUUGCUAGGAGUCGGCCGAGGCGUGAGUCACCAAAUGUCAAAGUCAAUAUUAAAAAAAAGUAUAAAAUAAUCGUCACUUCUUCCCUUGGAGUUAAUCUGUAUUGACCCGCUCUCACGCAGGGAGAGAAGAGGGGGAGAGGCAGCCGAAGAAGGAAAGCAGGGAGAAAGUAGAAGGAAGAUAGGGAGAGAGACAGAGACAGACAGAGGGAGACAGAGAACAGAAGAAAUAUGACAGCAGGAGAUGUAAGGGACUGCAGCCAAAUACGAAAGAAUGAGAGAUGAAAGAGGAAGGGGGAGAAAGGGUGCAGGCGAGAGUGUGAGAGAAGCGUGGCUGGAAGGAAGCGAGGAGGAAGGAGUACCACAUAAUUUUCUAGUGUAGGGUGUUGCGUGUGCCCUCACCCUUCCCUAUUGCCUCCCCUUCAUCCUGCCUCCCUUCCUUCUUUCCUUCCGUCUUCCAUUCCCUCCUCUUCCAUUUUCUCCUCUUUCUCCCUCCUAUUUCUGACAUCCCUUCCCGCAUCCUCCCUUCUCCCUGCGAGGGGGGAAUUUAAACCGAGGGAAAGGAAGGAGAAGGGGUGGGCGGGGUGACAAAAGGGGAUGAGUGUUAACAAGCGUGUAACACUUGACUGCGACACGCACGCUCCUCUCAGGGCUUAUAAUUGAGUGUAUCAGGGAAGAGGGAGGCAGCCACAGGGGAGGAGAUCCAGGGGUGUUCGGGGGUCGUUAGCGGGACGGAAUAGGGAUUUAGUACGUUUGGUUAAAUCUUCACACAAUUGGGUGUUACGUGUUCCUCCUGAACGCCUCGAGAACAGCCCCACAUUGUGCCUAGUCUCGUUGUCGGGAGGGACUUUGGAUUCAAGGGAUUCUGCUUUUCCAUAUCUCUAGGUGACCGGAAGGGAGGAUUAGUCCCUGGACGCACGAUGUUUAGGACCGUCACGUGUAUAUUAUAAUCGAGAGGACCCAAUAUUACUGUGAAAUUCUAAACAGUCUGUGACUCGCUAAGAGAGCCAACUAACGAGUCUUUCACUUUCUUACUCCCCGUCAGGGAAGAAACAUUAGACCACUUUAAAAAUUAAGUCGAUCUUUUUUCUUUUUUUUUUUUUUAGAUCUGCUUUUUCUUUAGCAUUUUAAGUUGGCAAUCAACUGUCUUCAAUUUCCUUUCGUUUCGUUUUCCAUACUCUUCUACUGAGUACAUAAAAAAGAGGAACUGCAGCCCCUCCAGCAGGCAGAGUCGCUAAUCACUCAGCUGGCCAGAGUGAAGCGCCUCAAAGCCACUUGAAGUUAUUGUCAUUACUUUUGAUGAGGGUUGAUGCUUGCAUUUUCAUGUUUGCAGUAUAACAUGCAUGGCAUUUGGUAUAAUGGUGUUCGUGUGUUUUCAAUUUAGUGUAAUCGUAUGUUUUCCAUUUGUAUGCAAUUGUCGUGGUGUUCCAUUUGCAUUCAUUUCUAGUAAACUGCAUUUUAUAAAAUAAAUUUAGUUUUUUAUCAUAUCGAGUCUGCAAUCUAAUUAUCCAUACACAACA